GGAGAGAUGGCCGAGUGGUCGAAGGCGCUUGCCUGCUAAGCAAGUGUGGAGGUAACUCCACCGAGGGUUCGAAUCCCUCUCUCUCCGCCA
rnacentral:tRNA from 2 species